rnacentral:rRNA from 1 species
GCACAAGCGGUGGAUGAUGUGGUUAAUUCGAUGCAACGCGAAAACCUUACCCACCUUUGACAUGUACGGAAGCCUUUAGAGAUAGAGGCGUGCUCGAAAGAGAGCCGUAACACAGGUGCUGCAUGGCUGUCGUCAGCUCGUGUCGUGAGAUGUUGGGUUAAGUCCCGCAACGAGCGCAACCCUUGUCAUUAGUUGCUACAUUCAGUUGGGCACUCUAAUGAGACUGCCGGUGACAAGCCGGAGGAAGGUGGGGAUGACGUCAAGUCCUCAUGGCCCUUAUAGGUGGGGCUACACACGUCAUACAAUGGCUGGUACGAAGGGUUGCCAACCCGCGAGGGGGAGCUAAUCCCAUAAAGCCAGUCGUAGUCCGGAUCGUAGUCUGCAACUCGACUACGUGAAGUCGGAAUCGCUAGUAAUCGUGGAUCAGAAUGUCACGGUGAAUACGUUCCCGGGUCUU